AUUGAACGCUGGCGGCAUGCCUUACACAUGCAAGUCGAACGGUAACAGGUUAAGCUGACGAGUGGCGAACGGGUGAGUAAUAUAUCGGAACGUGCCCAGUCGUGGGGGAUAACUGCUCGAAAGAGCAGCUAAUACCGCAUACGACCUGAGGGUGAAAGCGGGGGAUCGCAAGACCUCGCGCGAUUGGAGCGGCCGAUAUCAGAUUAGGUAGUUGGUGGGGUAAAGGCCCACCAAGCCAACGAUCAGUAGCUGGUCUGAGAGGACGAACAGCCACACGGGGACAGGGGCACGGCCCAGACUCCGGCGGGAGGCAGCAGUGGGGAAUUUUGGACAAUGGGCGAAAGCCUGAUCCAGCCAUGCCGCGUGCGGGAAGAAGGCCUUCGGGUUGUAAACCGCUUUUGUCAGGGAAGAAAAGGGUGUUUCUAAUACAGACGCCUCAUGACGGUACCUGAAGAAUAAGCACCGGCUAACUACGUGCCAGCAGCCGCCGUAAUAC
rnacentral:rRNA from 1 species